rnacentral:rRNA from 1 species
GAUGAACGCUGGCGGCGUGCCUAAUACAUGCAAGUCGAGCGAACAGACGAGGAGCUUGCUCCUCUGACGUUAGCGGCGGACGGGUGAGUAACACGUGGAUAACCUACCUAUAAGACUGGGAUAACUUCGGGAAACCGGAGCUAAUACCGGAUAAUAUAUUGAACCGCAUGGUUCAAUAGUGAAAGACGGUGUUGCUGUCACUUAUAGAUGGAUCUGCGCCGCAUGAGCUAGUUGGUAAGGUAACGGCUUACCAAGGCAACGAUGCGUAGCCGACCUGAGAGGGUGAUCGGCCGCACUGGAACUGGGACACGGUCCAGACUACUACGGGAGGCAGCAGUAGGGAAUCUUCCGCAAUGGGCGAAAGCCUGACGGAGCAACGCCGCGUGAGUGAUGAAGGUCUUCGGAUCGUAAAACUCUGUUAUUAGGGAAGAACAAAUGUGUAAGUAACUAUGCACGUCUUGACGGUACCUAAUCAGAAAGCCACGGCUAACUACGUG